UUGUGAGAAAGCCACCAUCACACUCCACCAUCACCAUCACAGACAGUCCCAUUUUCUCGUGGCUUCCUCACUAAGAUAGACUGAAACUUUCUAAAAUUAUGAGCCAAGCCAAGAUUGACUGAUGCCACCAAGGUAGCAGCACCAUUGUCAUAUCAUCAACAAGUAGACCUAAAUGCUUAUUGGACAUUUGCUGUCACCAAAUAAAGAUUCUAGGGGACCAUGAAUGAAAAUGGCAAUGAAAUCAAGAAAGAAGAUAUUUAUUCUAGGAAAUCUUGUCAGUAAUCUAACAAGAUAACGACAACAGAUUUUACUGAAAGAGAAAUCCCAGAACCCCAGAUGUGCCACCGGUAUCAACAUGAAGCAUAGCGGAAAGUGGAGCCUCAUGAGGGAUGUGUCAGAGAAGAAAAAUGUGGAGUUCUGUGUUGGGGGACAGCAAAGAAACACACCAACUCUAAAACCCAAAGCCACUUUUACUGGUGUUAAUUUUGGAGAACAUUGAAAGCUGUGCAAGAAAGAAAAUGAAGCCAGGGAAGGUUGAAGUGUGCACAUGUGGGCUGGUAAGAUGGCUCAGCUGGUGAGAACACU